rnacentral:rRNA from 1 species
UACGAAGGGGGCUAGCGUUGCUCGGAAUCACUGGGCGUAAAGGGUGCGUAAGCGGGUCUUUAAGUCAGGGGUGAAAUCCUGGAGCUCAACUCCAGAACUGCCUUUGAUACUGGGGAUCUCGAGUCCGGAAGAGGUGAGUGGAACUCCGAGUGUAGAGGUGAAAUUCGUAGAUAUUCGGAAGAACACCAGUGGCGAAGGCGGCUCACUGGUCCGGUACUGACGCUGAGGUGCGAAAGCGUGGGGAGCAAACAGG